GGAAGGGCCAUAGCUCAGUGGUAGAGCAUCUGUCUUGUAUGGAGCAGGUCCCAGGUUCAAUUACAGGGCCCAGCAUCUUCA